CCUACGGGAGGCAGCAGUGGGGAAUCUUGCACAAUGGAGGGAACUCUGAUGCAGCGAUGCCGCGUGAGUGAAGAAGGCCCUUGGGUUGUAAAGCUCUUUCGUCGGGGAAGAAAAUGACUGUACCCGAAUAAGAAGGUCCGGCUAACUUCGUGCCAGCAGCCGCGGUAAUACGAAGGGACCUAGCGUAGUUCGGAAUUACUGGGCUUAAAGAGUUCGUAGGUGGUUGAAAAAGUUGGUGGUGAAAUCCCAGAGCUUAACUCUGGAACUGCCAUCAAAACUUUUCAGCUAGAGUAUGAUAGAGGAAAGCAGAAUUUCUAGUGUAGAGGUGAAAUUCGUAGAUAUUAGAAAGAAUACCAAUUGCGAAGGCAGCUUUCUGGAUCAUUACUGACGCUGAGGAACGAAAGCAUGGGUAGCGAAGAGGAUUAGAUACCCUCGUAGUCCAUGCCGUAAACGAUGUGUGUUAGACGUUGGAAAUUUAUUUUCAGUGUCGCAGCGAAAGCGAUAAACACACCGCCUGGGGAGUACGACCGCAAGGUUAAAACUCAAAUGAAUUGACGG
rnacentral:rRNA from 1 species